rnacentral:rRNA from 1 species
CGCAGUACGAGUGAAUCAUCGAAUCUUUGAACGCACCUUGCGCUUUUCUUAACAGGAAAGCAUGCUUGGUGGAGAAUCGCGUUAACGAUGGAUGUCUUUUGUGGUGGUGGCUGUUUUGUCUGGAUGAGAAUCCAUCUAAAUCAAAUCAAAUCAAAUCCACUAGAAAAGACACUCGACAUGAUGUUCAGCGUGUGCUGUGCAUUGAAAUGCAGUCAACAACGACAAUGCAGUUGUCUUGUGCCAGGUGCGAUAGACAUCGCCGAGCACUGGAAGAAUACCGAGUGCCGUGUUGCUUGACGGGUGUGGCAUGAAAUGAUGAAUGUGCUUUGUCACUAUCAUCAAAUCACUCUGCCCACCAAACCAAAACGAUCUCCGCCAAGUAGGACCACCCGCUGAACUUAAGCAUAUCAAUAAGCGGAGG